ACACGACUACAUUAGAUACCCGGGUAGUCCUAGCCGUAAACGAUACUCGCUAGGUGUCGGCCACGGUGCGACCGUUGUCGGUGCCGUAGGGAAGCCGUGAAGCGAGCCACCUGGGAAGUUCGGCCGCAAGGCUGAAACUUAAAGGAAUUGGCGGGGAGCACCACAAGAGGUGGAGGCUGCGGUUCAAUUGGACUCAACGCCGGAAAACUCAUCGGGAGCGACAGCAGUAUGAUUGCCAGGUUGAUGACCUUGCUUGACAAGCUG
rnacentral:rRNA from 1 species